rnacentral:rRNA from 1 species
CAGUCGCCACGGGAAUACGUAGGGUGCAAGCGUUAAUCGGAAUUACUGGGCGUAAAGCGUGCGCUGGCGGUUCUAUAAGACAGAUGUGAAAUCCCCGGGCUCAACCUGGGAACUGCAUUUGUGACUGUAGAGCUGGAGUGCGGCAGAGGGGGAUGGAAUUCCGCGUGUAGCAGUGAAAUGCGUAGACAUGCGGAGGAACACCGAUGGCGAAGGCAAUCCCCUGGGCCUGCACUGACGCUCAUGCACGAAAGCGUGGGGAGCAAACAGGAUUAGAUACCCGAGUAGUCCCUGUCUCUUAUAC